AACGAACGCUGGCGGCAGGCUUAACACAUGCAAGCCGAACGCAUCCUUCGGGGUGAGUGGCAGACGGGUGAGUAACGCGUGGGAACGUGCCAUCCAGUUCGGGAUAACUCAGGGAAACUUGGGCUAAUACCGGACACGUGCGAGAGCAGCAAGAUUUAUCGCUGAAGGAUCGGCCCGCGUCUGAUUAGCCAGUUGGUGGGGUAAUGGCCCACCAAGGCGACGAUCAGUAGCUGGUCUGAGAGGAUGAUCAGCCACAUUGGGACUGAGACACGGCCCAAACUCCUACGGGAGGCAGCAGUGGGGAAUAUUGGACAAUGGGCGCAAGCCUGAUCCAGCCAUGCCGCGUGAGUGAUGAAGGCCUUAGGGUUGUAAAGCUCUUUCGUCCGGGACGAUAAUGACGGUACCGGAAGAAGAAGCCCCGGCUAACUUCGUGCCAGCAGCCGCGGUAA
rnacentral:rRNA from 1 species